CUAUGCAUGGUACCACCCAACUAUGCAUGGUACCACCCUACUACCUGACUAUGCAUGGUACCACCCUACUACCCAACUAUGCAUGGUACCACCCUACUACCUGACUAUGCAUUGUACCACCCUACUACCCAACUAUGCAUGGUACCACCCUACUACCCAACUAUGCAUGGUACCACCCUACUACCCAUCUAUGCAUGGUACCACCCUACUACCCAUCUAUGCAUGGUACCACACUACUACCUGACUAUGCAUGGUACCACCCUACUACCCAUCUAUGCAUGGAACCACCCUACUACCCAUCUACGCAUGGAACCACCCUACUAUGCAUGGAACCACCCAACUACCCAUCUGCGCAUGGAACCACCCUACUAUGCAUGGAACCACCCUACUACCCAUCUAUGCAUGGAACCACUGAGUGUUUCUAUUGUUUGUUUGUCCUCUGAGUGACACUACCAUGCAAUGAUCACGGCAGAAUGUUACCCAGAUUAUUACCCAAAUGUUUUUAUAUCUCAUUUUAUUACCAACUGCCCUGAUGACCCUUGGUCAUGGAAAGGUCAUCCUGUCAGUUGUUCUUUUAAUUAAUUCUAUACAUUGUAAUUACUUUUGAUUUCCUGACAUCAAAAUAACAUUUGUAUUCCAACACAGAUCGCCAUUCACAUUAAAUAGAUGUUUGUUAGUUUGUUGUUGUUUUUGACAUAAUAAUAUGUUCAGAGAAACAUAAAUGAUCUCAUAGAAUUCCUUAUAAUUAAGGUAUAACUAUUCUGUUCUGUUCUAUUCCCCAAACAGACACAGUAUUUUCACCUCGUGUCCGCUCCUCUAAACUUAAGCAGAUUUGGCUAUCCCAAAAAGGAUCAAAUACAACCUGCAUAGUUUAGCUGUACAAAAACCAUUUAAAUUGAUUCAUUUAAAUUGAUUUAAUUCAAAACAAUCAAAACUUUGACAGAGUGGAGGAGGAGUACCAGUCCAACCGGUAAACAGAUACUGUGUGUGUUGUUAUAUGGAGUGUGUAUA
rnacentral:lncRNA from 1 species